rnacentral:lncRNA from 1 species
AUCAGAAUGGCCAUCUCUUCACUAAAACGUAGUACUUCAAGACAAUGUCAUGUUUCUUCUUUCAGAUAUUCUCCUACUACUCUUGUGUUAGCCAUCUCUGAGGUGGAUGAUAACCAGGUUGGCAAGUUUAGCUUUUAUACAAAGGAAGCCAUCCUUAAGCUCUUAUUCCAUUCAGGAGUGGAAAAUAUGCAAGUGACCCUUGCAUGCCAAGCUGCUCAGAAAAAUGCUUUGAUGGUGGCUGUCCAACAGGCAUCCUUCUAUCACAUGUCCCGAUGGGGUUGUUCUGCUGAUGUGAAGGAAACAAGUUCAGAUCUGAGAAAUCGUGGUGGAAUCGGUCCAGUCAGAAGAAGAAAUUCUGGAAUUGUGAAUGGCAUAGAAAACUUCUUGUUAGCCCCAACUCCAAAAGUUCCAGACGCCCUUACUCAUCAUUCAGAAAGACUCCAGGCUACCAAAAGGGCGCCAGAGGCCUUUGUGUCUAUUCAACUAGAAAAGGUGGGGCUGCGGGACAUGAUGCUGAACGCCUUCCUUCUCAGGAAACAAACCAUGGGCGACAGAAUGAAGAACCAUGAUGAAAUUGGUAAAGUCAAGAGAGACGUUAUAAUUGAAUAUUGCCAGAGGUAAGUAUAGUAUAUAUGAACAGCAUAUGUUGAUUUCUCUGACUUUGAAUUCAAUAAACUGCAGUGUUACACAGAAAUCUAGUAAAGUUUUUGUGUUAUUCUCAGACAGCUCUACUUCCCUG